rnacentral:rRNA from 1 species
UACGUAGGUGGCAAGCGUUAUCCGGAAUUAUUGGGCGUAAAGCGCGCGCAGGUGGUUUCUUAAGUCUGAUGUGAAAGCCCACGGCUCAACCGUGGAGGGUCAUUGGAAACUGGGAGACUUGAGUGCAGAAGAGGAAAGUGGAAUUCCAUGUGUAGCGGUGAAAUGCGUAGAGAUAUGGAGGAACACCAGUGGCGAAGGCGACUUUCUGGUCUGUAACUGACACUGAGGCGCGAAGGUCAGGGGAGCAAACGGG